GCUGAAACUCGCCUACAUGAAGCUGGAGCUACUAGUAAUCGCCGAUCAGAAUGCUGCGGUGAAUGCGUUCCCGGGUCUUGUACACACCGCCCGUCACACCACGGGAGUUGGAGACGCCCGAAGCCGACUAUCUAACCUUUUGGAAGAAGUCGUCGAAGGCGGAAUCAAUAACUGGGGUGAAGUCGUAACAAGGUAGCCGUAUCGGAAGGUGCGGCUGGAUCACCUCCUUUCUAAGGAGA
rnacentral:rRNA from 1 species